ACGGGAGGCAGCAGUGGGGGAUAUUGCGCAAUGGGGGAAACCCUGACGCAGCAACGCCGCGUGAAGGAUGAAGGUCUUCGGAUCGUAAACUUUUGUCUUUUGGGACGAAACAAAUGACGGUACCAAAGGAGGAAGCCACGGCUAACUACGUGCCAGCAGCCGCGGUAAUACGUAGGUGGCAAGCGUUGUCCGGAUUUACUGGGUGUAAAGGGCGUGUAGGCGGGGAUGCAAGUCAGAUGUGAAAUACCGGGGCUUAACUCCGGGGCUGCAUUUGAAACUGUAUUUCUUGAGUGCCGGAGAGGAAAGCGGAAUUCCUAGUGUAGCGGUGAAAUGCGUAGAUAUUAGGAGGAACACCAGUGGCGAAGGCGGCUUUCUGGACGGUAACUGACGCUGAGGCGCGAAAGCGUGGGUAGCAAACAGGAUUAGAUACCCUGGUA
rnacentral:rRNA from 1 species